rnacentral:rRNA from 1 species
GACGAACGCUGGCGGCGUGCUUAACACAUGCAAGUCGAACGGUAAGGCCCUUCGGGGUACACGAGUGGCGAACGGGUGAGUAACACGUGGGUGAUCUGCCCUGCACUUCGGGAUAAGCCUGGGAAACUGGGUCCAAUACCGGAUAGGACCACUGCCUGCAUGGGUGGUGGUGGAAAGCUUUUGCGGUGUGGGAUAGGCCCGCGGCCUAUAAGCUUGUUGGUGGGGUGAUGGCCUACCGAGGCGACGACGGGUAGCCGGCCUGAGAGGGUGACCGGCCACACUGGGGCUGAGAUACGGCCCAGACUCCUACGGGAGGCAGCAGUGGGGAAUAUUGCACAAUGGGCGCAAGCCUGAUGCAGCGACGCCGCGUGAGGGAUGACGGCCUUCGGGUUGUAAACCUCUUUCAGCACCGACGAAGCGCAAGUGACGGUAGGUGCAGAAGAAGGACCGGCCAACUACGUGCCAGCAGCCGCAGUAA